CCUACGGGUGGCAGCAGUGAGGAAUAUUGGUCAAUGGGCGCGAGCCUGAACCAGCCAAGUAGCGUGAAGGAUGACGGCCCUACGGGUUGUAAACUUCGUUUAUAAAGGAAUAAAGUGAGGCACGUGGGAAGUUUUGUAUGUACUUUAUGAAUAAGGAGCGGCUAACGCCGUGCCAGCAGCCGCGGUAAGACGGAGGAUCAGAGCGUUAUCCGGAUUUAUUGGGUUUAAAGGGAGCGUAGAGGGGUUUUUAAGGCAGUUGUGAAAGUUUGCGGCUCAACCGUAAAAUUGCAAUUGAUACUGGCAGUCUUGAGUACAGUUGAGGUAGGCGGAAUUCGUGGUGUAGCGGUGAAAUGCUUAGAUAUCACGCAGAACUCCGAUUGCGAAGGCAGCUUACUAACCUGCCACUGACAUUGCUGCUCGAAAGUGUGGGUAUCAAACAGGAUUAGAUACCCUUGUAGUC
rnacentral:rRNA from 1 species